CCCUUAGAUGUUCUGGGCUGCACGCGCGCUACACUGAAGCUAUCAACACGUUUUCCCUCCCUGAGAAGGGCGGGUAACCUUUUGAAUCAGCUUCGUGGUAGGGAUCGGGGCUUGCAAUUGUUCCCCGUGAACCAGGAAUUCCUAGUAGACGCGAGUCAUAAGCUCGCAUCGAUUAAGUCCCUGCCCUUUGGACACACCGCCCGUCGCUACUACCGAUUGAACGUUUUAGUGAGGCAUUUGGACCGACGCAUCUCAGUUUAACCGCUGGUUUGUGUUGGAAAGACUUCCAAACUUGAGCGUUUAGAGGAAGUAAAAGUCGUAACA
rnacentral:rRNA from 1 species